rnacentral:misc_RNA from 1 species
CCAGGUCCCGCCUCCUGCGCCAAUCGCCAUACAUAUAUAGGACAACGCCACCCGCACGGCACGGCCAGACCACGCCGCACCACCGCCAGCUCCCGCACGCGCGCAACCCCAACCCCACCCCACUCAUUUCUUGGCCCUGUGCUGGGCUCGUGCUCGUGCAGCCGUUUCCGAUCGCCGCCCAACCAUGGCAGCCGGCGCCGGCAGGUCGAACCCCGCGCGGUGCAUGACGCACCCGAAGCACCGGCACGCGGCCGGGGUGUGCCCUUUCUGCCUACGAGACCGCCUAUCGCGCCUCUCCGCCGGCGCCGCCCACGAGUCGGCGUCGGCGUCCUCCUCCUUCUCCCCGUCCUCGCCCUCGGAGGAGACCGCAGCGCACUCGUCGUCGGCCCAGGCGCCGCGCCCCCGCCGCGGAAGCCUCGCGCUGCUGCUGCUGCACCAGGAGGGGACGGGGAGCGAGGCGGCACCGGCGCUGGCCGCGGGCCGCCAGGCGGAGCAGCAGGAGAGGAAGGCGAGGAGGGGCAACUUCUGGGCGCGGCUGCAGCAGCAGCUCUACCACGGUGGCUGGCACAGGAAAGACGACGGGUGCUCGGUGGCCGCAGAGAGACAGAACGCCGCGGCCGCGGCCGCCGUAGUGUGAUGCUCGAUCAGGGUGCGACCGAGAGACCGUGGCGGUGGACGAGCGCGUCGAGGUGCUCGGUUCUGUGCUGUUCCCGUGUUUACGCUGUUUCAAUCAAUCUUUCGGUGCCGUGGAAUGGAUGGCCGGGUAUCGGCGAAACGAAAGGCGACCUAACGGCUCGCUCAUUUUGUAAACAAACAUCGAAUGAAGCUUGCACUUGCACCUGGGUGUUGGCUCCUUCGCGCUGCUGUGGCUGUACCAUGAUGAUCUCUGAUCGAACUUAUCGUUCACCUGUUCCAGGCUCGUUAAUUAACUACUGGCCCAUGCAAUGCAAGCGAGUUGUUAACCUGUUUUGGCAAGUAGUGUUGGACUGUUGGGCAUUCUCUAAACGUAAGGCACAGCAUAAUGGCUGCAUCAGCAGGGGCACCAACUUUUGCUUUUCUCUGACAAAAAAAGAUACUCGUCUUCUAUGGCAGGUAACUAAUAUUCUCGCACAAGAGCCGGG